rnacentral:rRNA from 1 species
UGCGAAGGGUGCAAACGUUGCUCGGAAUUAUUGGGCGUAAAGCGCGCGUAGGCGGCCCUGUUAGUCCGCUGUAAAAGUCAAAGGCUCAACCUUUGAAUGCCGGUGGAUACUGCAGGGCUAGAGUCCGGAAGAGGCGAGUGGAAUUCCUGGUGUAGCGGUGGAAUGCGCAGAUAUCGGGAGGAACACCAGUGGCGAAGGCGGUUGCCUGGAGCUUUGCUGACGCUGAGGCGCGAAAGCUAGGGGAGCAAACAGG